CAAUAACAGGUCUGUGAUGCCCUU
rnacentral:ncRNA from 6 species